AAGCAGGAGCUGAAAACUAGAAGUUGAGGCAUGAGUUUGGCCACUCCGUAGUGUGCACUUGGUGAGGGCAGCAGCUCGCCACAGCUGCCAGCCAUCUGUCCAUUCACCCAUCUGUCCAUCUGGCAGCCCGCUGUUCAGACCUGUCUGUCUGUCCGCCCAUCUGUAAGCCCAUCUCUGUCCCAUUGUCUAUCUGACCAUCUUUCUCUUACUGUCCUCUUUGUCUAGCUAUCUGGCCUGUCUGUCGAUCCAUCUUCGUGUCUGUCUUCAGCCCCCACCUGUUUGUCCAUCUGUCCAAUUACCUGUGAGUCUAUCUAUGCAUCUUCUUGUCCAUUCAUCUGCCCACCCAUCUGUCCCUCCAUCUGCCCACCGGCCUCCCCUCUCCUUCUGGGCCGCAGAGCCAUGGCCCAGGACUACGGAGCCAUGGGUGACCUGGUCCUGCUGGGGCUGGGGCUGGGGCUGGCGCUGGCUGUCAUUGUGCUGGCUGUGGUCCUCUCUCGACACCAGGCCCCAUUUGACCCCCGGCCUUUGCCCACACCGCUGUUGCUGCUGACUCCAAGGUCUUCUCAAAUAUUGUACGGCAGGAAACUGCAUAUCUUCUGGUUUACAUGAAGAUGGAGUGCUAAUGGAAAUGCCCAAAACCUUCAGAGAUUGACACGCUGUCAUUUUCCAUUUCCGUUCCUGGAUCUACGGAGUCUUCUAAGAGAUUUUGCAAUGAGGAGAAGCAUUGUUUUCAAACUAUAUAACUGAGCCUUAUUUAUAAUUAGGGAUAUUAUCAAAAUAUGUAACCAUGAGGCCCCUCAGGUCCUGAUCAGUCAGAAUGGAUGCUUUCACCAGCAGACCCGGCCAUGUGGCUGCUCGGUCCUGGGUGCUCGCUGCUGUGCGAGACAUUAGCCCUUUAGUUAUGAGCCUGUGGGAACUUCAGGGGUUCCCAGUGGGGAGAGCAGUGGCAGUGGGAGGCAUCUGGGGGCCAAAGGUCAGUGGCAGGGGGUAUUUCAGUAUUAUACAACUGCUGUGACCAGACUUGUAUACUGGCUGAAUAUCAGUGCUGUUUGUAAUUUUUCACUUUGAGAACCAACAUUAAUUCCAUAUGAAUCUAGUGUUUUGUAACUGCUAUUCAUUUAUUCAGCAAAUAUUUAUUGAUCAUCUCUUCUCCAUAAGAUAGUGUGAUAAACACAGUCAUGAAUAAAGUUAUUUUCCACAAAA
rnacentral:lncRNA from 1 species